ACAAUGAUACUUCCGUCCUGAACGCGUCACAGCAUUGGACGGCGCACCCACAGGCAUGGGACGAGGUGAAAUUCCUAUGG
rnacentral:ncRNA from 1 species